GACGAAGGUGGCUAGCGUUGUUCGGAAUCACUGGGCUUAAAGCGCACGUAGGCGUCCUGUUAAGUGUCUUGUGAAAUCCCCCGGCUCAACCGGGGAACCGCUGGGCAUACUGGCAGGAUGGAGGCAGGUAUGGGUGCAUGGAACUCUUGGUGGAGCGGUGAAAUGCGUAGAUAUCAAGAGGAACGCCGGAGGUGAAGACGAUGCACUGGGCCUGUCCUGACGCUGAGGUGCGAAAGCCAGGGGAG
rnacentral:rRNA from 1 species